UACGUAGGGGGCUAGCGUUGUCCGGAAUCAUUGGGCGUAAAGCGCGUGUAGGCGGUCCGGUAAGUCCGCUGUGAAAGUCGGGGGCUCAACCCUCGAAUGCCGGUGGAUACUGUCGGGCUAGAGUGCGGAAGAGGCGAGUGGAAUUCCUGGUGUAGCGGUGAAAUGCGCAGAUAUCAGGAGGAACACCGGUGGCGAAGGCGGAUCUCUGGGCCUUACCUGACGCUCAGGCGCGAAAGCUAGGGGAGCGAACUGG
rnacentral:rRNA from 1 species